rnacentral:rRNA from 1 species
GACGAACGCUGGCGGCGUGCUUAACACAUGCAAGUCGAACGGAAAGGCCCUGCUUUUGUGGGGUGCUCGAGUGGCGAACGGGUGAGUAACACGUGAGUAACCUGCCCUUGACUUUGGGAUAACUUCAGGAAACUGGGUCUAAUACCGGAUAGGAGCUCCUGCUGCAUGGUGGGGGUUGGAAAGUUUCGGCGGUUGGGGAGGUACUCGCGGCUUAUCAGCUUGUUGGUGGGGUAGUGGCUUACCAAGGCUUUGACGGGUAGCCGGCCUGAGAGGGUGACCGGCCACAUUGGGACUGAGAUACGGCCCAGACUCCUACGGGAGGCAGCAGUGGGGAAUAUUGCACAAUGGGCGGAAGCCUGAUGCAGCAACGCCGCGUGCGGGAUGGCGGCCUUCGGGUUGUAAACCGCUUUCGCCUGUGACGAAGCGUGAGUGACGGUAAUGGGGAAAGAAGCACCGGCUAACUACGU